UCCGUCGACGCCUGCGGCCCUGAGACCCCAGUGGUCCAGCUGUCAGCGAUCCCUUGAUGCCUGCGGCCCUGAGACUCCAGUAGUCCAGCGGCCCAGCGGUCAGCGGUCCCGAGAUACCAGUGGUCCAGCAGUCUGGUGGUCAGCGGUCCGCACGCCUGCAGCCCCUAGACAUCAGCAGUGCCGAGACACCAGCAGUCCAGCGGCCCAGCGGUCAGCGGUCCUGAUGCCUGCAGCCCCUUGGAUGCCAGCGGUCCCGGGACGCCAGUGGCCCAGAGAUGCCAAUGGCCCCUAGCCGCCAGCAGCCUCGCCGCAAAAUGCCUUGCCACCCCGAGCCACGAGCGGCCUUGUCCGCAGCGGUGGCUUCCUCUGGGUGGCAGCCUUGUCAGAGUGGCAUCGUGGGGAGCAGAGUCUGUGUCAUCCGGGUUGUCCUCCUUGUCAUCGUCGCUGUCAUCGUUGCCUCUUCGUCGUCGGGAGCGGCCUCGUCCAGGAGCGGUCUUGUCCAGAAUGGCCCCUUCUUGGGAGCGGCCUUGUCUAGGGAGCAACCUCAUGGAGCAGCGGCCUCAUCUUGGGAGUGGCCUCUUCUUGGGAGCGGCUCCGAUCAUGGAGCGGCCUCAUCUGCGGAGCAGCCUCAUCUAGAGCAGCCUCGUCCAGAACGGCCUUCUUGGGAGUGACCUUGUCGGGAUCAUCGUCCUCGCCUUUUCGUAAGAGAUAGCCCUGACCGGCACAUUCACCACAUCUAGCCUCGGUUGCUAUAUGUGCCCAGAAGCCACCAUAUUGGAUGACACAGACUGACGGUGAAAUUACUGUGGAAAGUUCCACUGGGCAGCACUGGAAGAGCAUUGUCUUGGGAGCCUGGGAUGGAGUCCUGGGUUCUACAAUUUGGGUUUCCGCAUUCGGAGGAUGCUGCCUGACCAGUGCAGAAUAGAAUCUUGUGCCCACAAUGGACGCAACCAAGUAACUUCACUUAAUAGCUGCUGAGCUACUUAAACAAGGAUAUUUCAGUCCUUCAUGCUGUGCGUGCAUAUCCUGACUCGCCGUUUCCUUGGGGAAAAUAAGGAGAAAAGUACUACGUGGAAAUGUACUAUUAGCCGCUGCGUGAAAUUUGACAAGGGUGGUGGAGCUCAGGUUCUCUGAGAGGAGCACCUCGCUGCCUGAAGAGGGGCACUUUUUUCAAGCUGAGAUCCACAGGAUCCCAUCCAUCACCCCCCACCCACCCACCCACCCACCUUCCGCUUCCCAGUUUCCCUCUGCAGCAGCCUGGAUCCCUGUGAGGAAAGGAAAAGUGAUGUUAUCUGGGAAGUCAGAUCUAAGCAAAGACCAGCUUUCUGCUUGCAGUCCUUAAAAUAAUUUUCAGUGAAAUAAAGCCUUUUGAGUCAGAGGAUAAGACAUCCUCGUUUGCAUGAUUCAGAACGGCAGUGACGCCACAGGUAGUCAUCGAGAGCAGUUCCCGAGUGUGGAAAUCCCGAACAAUCAAACCGGUACUGUAGGUGGCACCAAAUGAAUAAUCUUCCAUAACUGAAGUCUGUUCCAUUGACCCCAGCACAGGAAGCUGGUGGCUUUAGUGGCGGCGCUGACAGCAGAUAGUUUUCUGAAUGGGACAGAAGUUGCUGGGCUUCUGACCCAGAGUUUACAAUGUUUAGUACAUACCAGCACUUUUUUUUUUUUUGAAAGGCUCAGAGAAUAUCCAUAUUUUAUUAGAAUGUCAGUUUGUUUCUUGGUAGCCAUAUAGAAGAAGAAAAUCUUUAGGGCAUCUUAGGAAUCCUGGAAGUUGUAUGCAGAAGGUUGUUUUUGUGUCUUGGGAAAGUGGUUCACAGGUGACCAUCAUAGUCUUGAGGGGUCUCUGGCAUCUAAAAUAUUGGAACCAUGUUUCUGAUACAGUUAAGAGAUCACAAAGAAAUUUGUGUGGCAUGCUAUCGUGAAGUAGAAUUUUAAAAGCUGGACCACUGAUUAUAAG